AGCAGUCGCCGCGGUAAUACAGAGGAUGCAAGCGUUAUCCGGAAUGAUUGGGCGUAAAGCGUCUGUAGGUGGCUUUUCAAGUCCGCCGUCAAAUCCCAGGGCUCAACCCUGAACAGGCGGUGGAAACUACCAAGCUGGUGUACGGUAGGGGCAGAGGGAAUUUCCGGUGGAGCGGUGAAAUGCGUUGAAAUCGGAAAGAACACCAACGGCGAAAGCACUCUGCUGGGCCGACACUGACACUGAGAGACGAAAGCUAGGGGAGCAAAUGGGAUUAGAUACCCCCGUAGUCCCUGUCUCUUAUAC
rnacentral:rRNA from 1 species